GAUGAACGCUGGCGGCGUGCCUAAUACAUGCAAGUCGAGCGAACAGACGAGGAGCUUGCUCCUCUGUCGUUAGCGGCGGACGGGUGAGUAACACGUGGAUAACCUACCUAUCAGACUGGGAUAACUUCGGGAAACCGGCGCUAAUACCGGAUAAUCUAUUGAUCCACAUGGUUCAAUAGUGAAAGACGGUGUUGCUGUCACUUAUCGAUGGAUCCGCGCCGCAUUAGCUAGUUGGUAAGGUCACGGCUUACCACGGCAACGAUGCGUAGCCGACCGGAGAGGGGGAUCGGCCACAUGGGAGCGGAGACACGGUCCAGACUACUGAGGGAGGCACCAGAAGGGAAUCGUCCGCAGUGGGCGAGAGCCUGACGGAGCGACGGGGAGUGAGUGAUGGAGAUCCCGGGUGCGUAAAACUCUGUUAUUAGGGAAGAACAGAUUUGGAAGGUACUAAGCACGGCUUGACGGUACCGAGUCAGAAAGCCACGGCUAACUACGUG
rnacentral:rRNA from 1 species